rnacentral:rRNA from 1 species
UUGGAGAAGUAAUUUUUUAUUAAGUAAUAUUUUUUGAAAGAUACUUUUUAGUAAUAGUUUAUUAGUACUGUAAAGGAAUAUUUUAAAUAAAUUGAAAAAUUUUAUUUUUAUAAGUAUAUUUUAUUUAUAUUACCUUUUGUAUCAGGGCUGAUCUAAUUUUUAUAAUAUAUUUUGCCUUCUCGAUUUUAUAAGAGCUAAUAAUUUAUUUUAUUUUAUGUGUUAAAAUAAUUAAUAAUAUUUAUUAGGGGGGAAAUCUCAUUCGUUUAUAAGGGUAUCUAGUUUUUUAAGAAUUAAAUUUAAUUUAAUCCUGAAACUUACUUUUUUCUUUUUUAUUUAUUUAUUUUUUAGGUUAUAACUAGUGGGGGAUAAGCUCUGCUUUUUUACUAUAAAAUUUUAUUUUGAUAAUUUUAGUAGGCCUAAAAUCAACCAUCUUUAAAUUACGUUAUAGUUUAUUUUAUUUUUAUUUGAUUUUCUUCUUUUUAGUUUUUUAUUAAAAUAAUUUAUUUAACUUUAUUAUAAUUGUAAUAAUGAUUAAAUUAGUAUAAAUUUUUGUUUGCUAUUUAUUUUUCUUUAAUUAUAAUUAAGGAACUCGGCAAAUCUAAUUUUCGCCUGUUUAUCAAAAACAUGUCCUCAUGUUUAUAUUUGAGGUUUGGCCUGCCCGGUGAUUUUAAUUUAACGGCCGCGGUAUAUUGACCGUGCAAAGGUAGCAUAAUCAUUAGUCUUUUAAUAGGAGGCUGGAAUGAAAGGUUUAACGAAAAAUUAGCUGUCUCAAUUAUAAAUUUGAAUUUAACUUUUAAGUUAAAAGGCUUAAAUUUUUUUGUAGGACGAGAAGACCCUAUAGAGCUUUACAUUUAAUAUUUUGUUAUAUUGAUUUAGAUUAAUAUUUUUAAUUAACUUUAAAAAGUGUUUUGUUGGGGUGACAAGAAAUAUAUAUUUAACUUUUAUUAUUAUAUUUUCAUUAAUUUAUGAUUAUUGGAUCCAAAAUUUUUGAUCAUUAGAAUAAGUUACCUUAGGGAUAACAGCGUAAUCUUCCCUCAGAGUUCAAAUUUACGGGAAGGGUUGCGACCUCGAUGUUGGAUUAAGAUAACAGUUGGGUGCAGUAGCUCAAUUUGUAGGUCUGUUCGACCUUUAAAUUCUUACAUGAUCUGAGUUCAGACCGGUUUAAGCCAGGUCGGUUUCUAUCCUCAAAUUUAUUUUAGUUUUUAGUACGAAAGGACCAUUACUAUGAAAUAAUUUUUAUUAUUUGAUUUUCAUUAACUAUUUUGGCAGAAAAGUGCGAUGAAUUUAGAAUUCAUU